rnacentral:lncRNA from 1 species
AGUACUAACACACCAGAGGAAGGCUCUGGUUCAGAGCUGUGUUCUUCUAUGCGUAUUACCAGCAGGGAGCUGUUUUCUGUUGAGUGUUGAGGAACUGCAUGGAAAUGUCAGAGUGAGUCGCCACAUGGGAUCUCCUAGAGAUAUCUCCUUCAGAAGACCUUCUUGAGUUUCAUUUUUUCCUUGACACCUGUAAGCCACUGGCCAACCAAAAAUGGAUUAAUAGACACACACAUCACACACAU